UACGUAGGGGGCAAGCGUUGUCCGGAUUUAUUGGGCGUAAAGAGCGUGUAGGCGGCUUUACAGGUCCGUUGUGAAAACUCGAGGCUCAACCUCGAGACGCCGGUGGAAACCGUAAAGCUAGAGUCCGGAAGAGGAGAGUGGAAUUCCUGGUGUAGCGGUGAAAUGCGCAGAUAUCGUAAGGAAGGCCGGUGGCGAAAGCGAGCCUCUGGACAGUUACUGACGCUGAUGCACGAAGGCCAGGGGAGCAAACGGG
rnacentral:rRNA from 1 species